rnacentral:rRNA from 1 species
UACAGAGGUCCCAAGCGUUGUUCGGAUUCAUUGGGCGUAAAGGGUGCGUAGGCGGCGCGGUAAGUCGGGUGUGAAAUCUCGGAGCUUAACUCCGAAACUGCAUUCGAUACUGCCGUGCUUGAGGACUGGAGAGGAGACUGGAAUUUCCGGUGGAGCGGUGAAAUGCAUUGAGAUCGGAAAGAACACCAACGGCGAAAGCACUCUGCUGGGCCGACACUGACACUGAGAGACGAAAGCUAGGGGAGCAAAUGGG